ACUACGGGUGGCAGCAGUAGGGAAUCUUCCACAAUGGGCGCAAGCCUGAUGGAGCAACACCGCGUGAGUGAAGAAGGGUUUCGGCUCGUAAAGCUCUGUUGUUGGAGAAGAACGUGCGUGAGAGUCACUGUUCACGCAGUGACGGUAUCCAACCAGAAAGCCACGGCUAACUACGUGCCAGCAGCCGCGGUAAUACGGAGGUGGCAAGCGUUAUCCGGAUUUGUUGGGCGUAAAGCGAGCGCAGGCGGUUGAUUAGGUCUGAUGUGAAAGGCUUAGGCUUAACCGAAGAACGGCAACGGAUACCGGUCAACUUGAGUGCAGAAGAGGACAGUGGAACUCCAUGUGUAGCGGUGGAAUGCGUAGAUAUAAGGAGGAACACCAGUGGCGAAGGCGGCUGUCUGGUCUGCAACUGACGCUGAGGCUCGAAAGCAUGGGUAGCGAACAGGAUUAGAUACCCGUGUAGUC
rnacentral:rRNA from 1 species